ensembl:snRNA U6 U6 spliceosomal RNA
GUACUGUCCUUAGGAGUACAUGCAGUAAAAUUGGAAAGAUAGAAGACGAGCAUGCCUCUAUGCAAUGAUGACACACAGAACAUGAAACAGUUCGUAUUUUAU